UACGAAGGGGGCUAGCGUUGCUCGGAAUCACUGGGCGUAAAGGGUGCGUAGGCGGGUUUUUAAGUCAGGGGUGAAAUCCUGGAGCUCAACUCCAGAACUGCCUUUGAUACUGAAGAUCUUGAGUUCGGGAGAGGUGAGUGGAAUUCCGAGUGUAGAGGUGAAAUUCGUAGAUAUUCGGAGGAACACCAGAAGCGAAGGCGGCUCACUGGCCCGAUACUGACGCUGAGGCGCGAAAGCGUGGGGAGCAAACAGG
rnacentral:rRNA from 1 species